rnacentral:rRNA from 1 species
CCUACGGGAGGCUGCAGUGAGGAAUAUUGGUCAAUGGACGAGAGUCUGAACCAGCCAAGUAGCGUGAAGGAUGACUGCCCUAUGGGUUGUAAACUUCUUUUGUAAGGGAAUAAAACGAGGUACGUGUGCCUGUUUGCAUGUACUUUAUGAAUAAGGAUCGGCUAACUCCGUGCCAGCAGCCGCGGUAAUACGGAGGAUCCGAGCGUUAUCCGGAUUUAUUGGGUUUAAAGGGUGCGUAGAUGGGUUGUUAAGUCAGUUGUGAAAGUUUGCGGCUCAACCGUAAAAUUGCCAUUGAUACUGGCAGUCUUGAGUGCAGUUGAGGUAGGCGGAAUGCGUGGUGUAGCGGUGAAAUGCUUAGAUAUCACGCAGAACCCCGAUUGCGAAGGCAGCUUACUAAGCUGUGACUGACGUUGAUGCACGAAAGUGUGGGUAUCAAACAGGAUUAGAUACCCCAGUAGUC